CUCUUAUCAAGAGAGGUGGAGGGAAGUGCCCUAUGAAGCCCGGCAACCGUCAAUAUUCGUAUUGAAAUGGUGCCAAUUCACGCAAAGCGAAUGCUUUGGGAGAUGAGAG
rnacentral:ncRNA from 2 species